UUGACCGUCCACUCCACCGCUGGUCCACCCGAUCCCGAUCGGGGCGGGCAAGAGGAAAGUCCGGGCAACACAGGGCACCACGCCGGCUAACGGCCGGGGUCCCUUCCCCCCCGGGAAGGGGCACGGAAAGUGCAACAGAAAGCAAACCGCCCCGACCCCGCCCCGAUAGCUAUCGGGAUCGGAAUCGGGGUAAGGGUGAAACCGUGGGGUAAGAGCCCACGACUUCCCGUAGUAAUACGGGAUGGAGGUAAACCCCGUGGGUUGAAAUACCAAACAGCGUUCCAGCCUUUACGGAGGCUACGGCCGGCCCGGUCGGAUACAAGGAACGCGGGUAGGUAGAUAGAGCCGUCGGGCAACCGCCGGCCUAGAUAAAUGGUGGAGCGCCCCGUCGAUUACCGUCGGAGGGGCCGACAGAACCCGGCUUACCGGAACGGUCAACUUU
rnacentral:RNase_P_RNA from 1 species